rnacentral:rRNA from 1 species
GACGAACCGAGCGAACGUUGUUCGGAAUCACUGGGCUUAAAGGGCGCGUAGGCGGGUUCUCAAGUCUGGGGUGAAAUCCCACAGCUCAACUGUGGAACUGCCUCGGAUACUGGGGGCCUCGAGGGUGGUAGGGGUAUGCGGAACUAUCGGUGGAGCGGUGAAAUGCGUUGAUAUCGAUAGGAACGCCGGUGGCGAAGGCGGCAUACUGGACCACAUCUGACGCUGAGGCGCGAAAGCCAGGGGAGCAAACGGG